rnacentral:rRNA from 1 species
GACGUAGGGCGCGAGCGUUGUCCGGAUUUAUUGGGCGUAAAGAGCUCGUAGGCGGUUUGUCGCGUCUGCUGUGAAAUUCCAGGGCUUAACCCUGGGCUUGCAGUGGGUACGGGCAGACUAGAGUGUGGUAGGGGAGACUGGAAUUCCUGGUGUAGCGGUGAAAUGCGCAGAUAUCAGGAGGAACACCGAUGGCGAAGGCAGGUCUCUGGGCCACUACUGACGCUGAGAAGCGAAAGCAUGGGGAGCGAACAGG